rnacentral:rRNA from 1 species
CUAAGAAUCUUCCGCAAUGGGCGAAAGCCUGACGGAGCGAUGCCGCGUGAUCGAUGAAGGUCGAGAGAUUGUAAAGAUCUUUUCCACAUGAGGAAUAAUACUAGGAGGGAAUGCCUGGUAGAUGACGUUAGUGUGGGAAUAAGCCCCGGCUAAUUACGUGCCAGCAGCCGCGGUAACACGUAAGGGGCGAGCGUUGUUCGGAAUUAUUGGGCGUAAAGGGCACGCAGGCGGCCUAACAAGUCUGAUGUGAAAUCUCCGGGCUCAACUCGGAAUCCGCGUUGGAAACUGUUAAGCUAGAGUAUUAGAGGGGGAGUCGGAAUUCCUAGUGUAGGGGUGAAAUCUGUUGAUAUUAGGAAGAACACCGGUGGCGAAGGCGGACUCCUGGCUAGAUACUGACGCU